GUUAAGGACUAAGCGUACCGGUGGAUGCCUUGGCAGUCAGAGGCGAUGAAAGACGGUAGUAAACUUGCGAUAAGCCCAGAUUAGGUACGUAACAACCAUUUGAAGUCUGGGAUUGCUGAAUGGGAACCCACAGUGCAAUAAGCAGUAUCCUUUACCUGAAUACAUAGGUAAGGAGGCGAACGGGGAACUGAACAUCUAAGUACCCCGAGGAAAGAAAUCAAACCGAGAUUCGAAAGUAGCGGCGAGCGAAAUUGGACUAGCCUUAAGCUUUAACGUGUUUAGACGAACGGUCUGGGAAAGUCCGGACGAUACAUGGGGUGAUAGCCCGUAUUGACGACGUGUGUUCUAGUUAAAUCGAGUAGGGCGGGGACACGUGAUAACCCUGUCCUGAAUAUGGGGGGACCAUCCUCCAAGGCUAAAUACUACUACUGACCGAUAGUGAACCAGUACCGUGAGGGAAAAGGCGAAAAGAACCCCUGUGAGGGGAGUGAAAAUAGAACCUGAAACCGUUACGGUACAAGCAGUAGGAGCAGGCUUUGUCCUGUGACUGCGGUACCUUUUGUAAUAAUGGGUACAGCGACUUAUAUUCAGUGGCAAGGUUAACCAUCUAGGGGAGCCGUAGGGAAACCGAGUCUUAACUGGGCGUUCGUCUCUGGAUAUAGACCCGAAACCAGGUGAUCUAGCCAUGGGCCAGGUUGAAGGUUGAGUAAAUCAACUGGAGGACCGAACCGACUAAUGUUGAAAAAUUAGCGGAUGACUUGUGGCUAGGGGUGAAAGGCCAAUCAAACCUGGAGAUAGCUGGUUCUCCCCGAAAGCUAUUUAGGUAGCGCCUCGGACGAAUACUACUGGGGGUAGAGCACUGUUAAGGCUAGGGGGUCAUCCCGACUUACCAACCCUUUGCAAACUCCGAAUACCAGUAAGUACUAUCCGGGAGACACACGGCGGGUGCUAACGUCCGUCGUGGAGAGGGAAACAACCCAGACCGCCAGCUAAGGUCCCAAAUUACUACUAAGUGGGAAACGAUGUUGGGAAGGCUCAGACAGCCAGGAUGUUGGCUUUAGAAGCAGCCAUCAUUUAAAGAAAGCGUAAUAGCUCACUGGUCGAGUCGGCCUGCGGCGGAAGAUGUAACGGGGCUAAGUAGUAAACCGGAAGCUGCGGCAAUGUGCUUUUGCACAAUUGGGUAGGGGAGCGUUCUGUAAGCGGUUGAAGGUGUGUGGUAACGCAUGCUGGACGUAUCAGAAGUGCGAAUGCUGACAUGAGUAACGAUAAAGGGGGUGAAAAACCUCCUCGCCGGAAGACCAAGGGUUCCUGUCCAACGUUAAUCGGGGCAGGGUAAGUCGACCCUAAGGCGAGGCCGAAAGGCGUAGUCGAUGGGAAACGGGUAAUAUUCCCGUACUUCUUACAAUUGCGAUGGGGGGACGGAGAAGGCUAGGUGGGCCUGGCGACGGUUGUCCAGGUUCAAGUGCGUAGGCUUGAGAGUUAGGUAAAUCCGGCUCUUUUUAAGGCUGAGACACGACGUCGAGCCACUACGGUGGUGAAGUCAUUGAUGCCAUGCUUCCAGGAAAAGCCUCUAAGCUUCAGAUUGUAAGGAAUCGUACCCCAAACCGACACAGGUGGUCGGGUAGAGAAUACCAAGGCGCUUGAGAGAACUCGGGUGAAGGAACUAGGCAAAAUGGUACCGUAACUUCGGGAGAAGGUACGCUCUCGACGGUGAAGUCCCUCGCGGAUGGAGCUAUUGAGAGUCGCAGAUACCAGGUGGCUGCAACUGUUUAUUAAAAACACAGCACUGUGCAAAAUCGUAAGAUGACGUAUACGGUGUGACGCCUGCCCGGUGCCGGAAGGUUAAUUGAUGGGGUUAGACUUCGGUCGAAGCUCUUGAUCGAAGCCCCGGUAAACGGCGGCCGUAACUAUAACGGUCCUAAGGUAGCGAAAUUCCUUGUCGGGUAAGUUCCGACCUGCACGAAUGGCGUAAUGAUGGCCACGCUGUCUCCACCCGAGACUCAGUGAAAUUGAAAUCGCUGUGAAGAUGCAGUGUACCCGCGGCUAGACGGAAAGACCCGUGAACCUUUACUACAGCUUGGCACUGAACAUUGACCCUACAUGUGUAGGAUAGGUGGGAGGCUUUGAAGCACGUACGCCAGUAUGUGUGGAGCCGUCCUUGAAAUACCACCCUUGUAGUGUUGAUGUUCUAACGUCGACCCCUUAUCGGGGUUGCGGACAGUGCCUGGUGGGUAGUUUGACUGGGGCGGUCUCCUCCCAAAGAGUAACGGAGGAGCACGAAGGUGGGCUAAUCACGGUUGGACAUCGUGAGGUUAGUGCAAUGGCAUAAGCCCGCUUGACUGCGAGAAUGACAAUUCGAGCAGGUGCGAAAGCAGGUCAUAGUGAUCCGGUGGUUCUGAAUGGAAGGGCCAUCGCUCAACGGAUAAAAGGUACUCCGGGGAUAACAGGCUGAUACCGCCCAAGAGUUCAUAUCGACGGCGGUGUUUGGCACCUCGAUGUCGGCUCAUCACAUCCUGGGGCUGAAGUCGGUCCCAAGGGUAUGGCUGUUCGCCAUUUAAAGUGGUACGCGAGCUGGGUUUAGAACGUCGUGAGACAGUUCGGUCCCUAUCUGCCGUGGGCGUUGGAAGAUUGAAGGGGGCUGCUCCUAGUACGAGAGGACCGGAGUGGACGAACCUCUGGUGUUCGGGUUGUGUCGCCAGACGCAUUGCCCGGUAGCUAAGUUCGGAAUCGAUAACCGCUGAAAGCAUCUAAGCGGGAAGCGAGCCCUGAGAUGAGUCUUCCCUGAUACUUUAAGUAUCCUAAAGGGUUGUCGGAGACUACGACGUUGAUAGGUCAGGUGUGUAAGUGCUGUGAGGCAUUGAGCUAACUGAUACUAAUUGCCCGUGAGGCUUAACCAU
rnacentral:rRNA from 1 species